rnacentral:lncRNA from 1 species
CGUAAAAGUUCUAUGACGUAGGGCAGGUGAUAGGACGGCUUUUAAAAGCGAGUACAGUAACCAACCAUUAUCAUUAGAGAAGUUGAAGUCUCCUCGAAGGCAGGUGCGAGGGACACAUAGCCUGUUAUGGGCUCCUGGAAACAACUCGGAAGGAAGCAGAAAUCUAAGCUGGUCAGUAACUGAGUAAGACGAGAAACAGACAGGCAGGAGCAGAGGCAAGGACAGAGGGCUGGGCCGAGAGAACGCACAGUUUUAGACCGUGCUUGUGACCUAUCCAUGUACGCUGUUCCUGGUGUAAUUCAAUGGCAUCUUUUUUUUUAAAGAACUGCAAGAUGGACCUCACACUCUACCAAAUAAAAGAAUAUUGCUAAAGAACAAAUAAUUGGUACUGCUAAGGGAUGGUGCCAAAAAAAAAAAAAAAAAAAAAAAAAAAAAAAGCUUCUAAGGAUGCUGCUGGAGGAUACUUCUAAAGGAUGCUGUGAAUGGAAUGCUUCAAAAGGAUGAUGCUAGAGGGUGCUCUGAAAGGAUGCUGCUAAAGGAUGCUGCUGGAGGAUCCUGCUAAAAGAUGCUGCUAAAGGAUGCUGCCAAUGUUGCUAGGAUUGUGUCACUAUGACAGCACUGGCAGCCUUGAAGGUUUACAUCAGGCAAAGACGGAAUUCUGAAAACAUAACAAUGAGAAGAAAUGCAAUGCACUUUGAUGCAUUCCGCAAGUUUAAACCCAUGAAACCCUAACUACUAAGCCAUCUCUCUCUCUCCAGACCACCUUAAUUUAUUUUAACUGGAAAUAUACCUAAUUAUUUUUA